rnacentral:rRNA from 1 species
UACGAAGGGGGCUAGCGUUGCUCGGAAUCACUGGGCGUAAAGCGCACGUAGGCGGACUCUUAAGUCAGGGGUGAAAUCCUGGAGCUCAACUCCAGAACUGCCUUUGAUACUGGGAGUCUUGAGUUCGGGAGAGGUGAGUGGAACUGCGAGUGUAGAGGUGAAAUUCGUAGAUAUUCGCAAGAGCACCAGUGGCGAAGGCGGCUCACUGGCCCGAUACUGACGCUGAGGUGCGAAAGCGUGGGGAGCAAACAGG